UGGAACGUUUAAGGCUUCUGA
rnacentral:piRNA from 1 species